rnacentral:lncRNA from 1 species
UUUAAAAAAAAUCAAAUAUUGUACCAAUUAAAUGCAGCUAAUACAACUAAAAAAUGAUUCAAAUAGCAUAUGAUACCAAUAUAGUAUAAAGCUAUACUAGUUGGAAUAAAUUGUAUACCAAAAUGGUAUAUUUGUAUACUUAGUAUAUAAUACAAAUUCGUCAUCUUCUCUUGUUCAACUAUAUUUCAACCCAAAUUUCUAAAAUCUACUACAAGUUAAAAUCUCCAUAUCAAAUUGACUAAAGCUUUAGCUACAACCUCCAAUCAACUUUCCAAACAAACACAUACAUGAUCGGAUCAAAACAAUUAAAAACUCAAAAAAAUCAAGUUAUGAGUUUCAAGUUUCAAGAUGAUGGAUUUAAUUUUCUCACAAUAAAAUCUUUGAAAAUUAGCAUUACAUCAUAAUCAAAGAACAAUACCCAAUAAAUUUCAACAACAAGCACUUCAAAACACAUAUGAAAAUUCAAAUUUAAGUUAUAUAGUAUAUAUUAUUUCUUAUUUUACUUUUAAAAGAUAAAAUAAACUAUGGAGCACAAAUAAAAAAAAGGGUAAUGAUAGCAUAAAAAGGUACAAUACUAACACACUGUCGAGCUAACUAUUCUUUGGCUUCUUUUUAGGAUUUUCACUUUUGCUGCUUACAUUAAAUAUGUCUACCGCAAGCAAGAAUUGGGUUAGGCAGGUAAUUAGUUAUAAUAGAAUAUGAAUUAAUGUAAUUACUUUUAAAAUGGGCAAUUACAGGUAAUUACUUUUGAUUAGGUAGGUAUGUAGGGUAGUUUUCCCCUAUAUGUUACAUUCUCCAAGUGGAACAAAACGUCACUAAUAUACAAAAACAUAACAAUAGAAAUCAUUGAGAAACAAAGUUGUUGGCUGUUCCCCUCAGUUGGAUGUUGGAGAUGAGAAAUUUGAGACUCUGUUGGUGACUUUGGUCCCAAAAGUUUAAUGCUGUGUCCAUACACUGAUGCUUCUUCUUUCGUAGCAUUCAACAAUGACCUUAACUAUAUACAUUGAUAAUGUAAAUUUUCAACAUUAUCUGCUCGCUUGAAAUGUAAUUGCAGGUAACUCUACAUAAAACAAUUGAACUACUAACCUAAACAAUAACACAAGCUGCAACCUUAUGCACUAGGUUAAAUUGCAAUGGAGUGUAAAUAUUUAAUUGUAUUAUCAGUAAAUAAAAGCUAAAGUCCUACAGUUUCAUCGUAUACAAGACUGCAAGUUUGCCUUUUUGAAAAAGUUGGGUUUUCAUGCGCAUAAUUUGUUAAUCUAAUUUAAUAAUGUUGUCCGUCAAAAUAACCUAUUUGAUCAAUUUAGCACAGAGGGAAUGUAAUACAAAAAACUUGGUAAAUGCACUUGUAAUUAGCGGAAAGGAGAAAACACAUGAAAUGAUGAAGUUGACUGAUCUUAACAUUUUCAAAUAAGGAAACUGAGUUGUUGUAAAGAAAAAGGGACAAUCUUAUCGACACUUUACAUAAGAAUAAUUUAUUAAUUUGGUUUAAGGUAUAUUGAAAUAAAAUAUAAAAAUUGCGGUUUAUGGAACACAGAAAAAGAUAUGUAAAAAUGGUAGCCAUUUUGGUAAUGAGAAAAUUAGUGGUUGAUGCCAUAGACCACACAAAAAUGUAUGAGGAAACAAGACAAUUAAUCUGACGGUGCGUUAUGUUUCCGCUAUAUACAAAAGCUUACGUGGGUGUUCUUGUAUAUAUAAGAGUUUAAGAAAAGAGUUGGACCACAUUUUUGGGGAAAAAAGGUUUUGUUUAUGUAAAUUGAAAACAUAUAGUGAAAAAUCUAUAUUUUAGGCGUAAGUGCGUGUAUACAAACAAUUAAUACUAACCAACAUUCUUUCGGGACCAAAGUCACCAACAACGUAUCAUCUUCUGCUUCUUCUUCAAUUUCCCCUUAGCAUAUCGAGUGGGGCAAAUUCGACUACUUUUAUAGAUUAGUUCUACCAUGUCACAACCGUACAAUUUUUUACAACAAUACUAGCAAGUACACUGAUUGUACUACAAGUAGUAAAAUCUUGUCCAUUUUAUUAAAGUACCAAGUUUUUCU